UAUAUCCUACGGGAGGCAGCAGUAGGGAAUAUUGCUCAAUGGGGGAAACCCUGAAGCAGCAACGCCGCGUGGAGGAUGAAGGUUUUAGGAUUGUAAACUCCUUUUGUUAGAGAAGAUUAUGACGGUAUCUAACGAAUAAGCACCGGCUAACUCCGUGCCAGCAGCCGCGGUAAUACGGAGGGUGCAAGCGUUACUCGGAAUCACUGGGCGUAAAGAGUGCGUAGGCGGGGGAAUAAGUCAGAUGUGCAAUCCUGUAGCUUAACUACCGAACUGCAUUGGAAACUGUUACUCUGGAGUGUGUGAGU
rnacentral:rRNA from 1 species